rnacentral:pre_miRNA from 1 species
CUAAUACUCCCUCCGUCCGAAAAUACUUGUCAUCAAAAUAGAUAAAAAGAGAUGUAUCUAGAACUAAAAUACAUCUAGAUACAUCCUCUUUCUUCCAUUUUGAUGACAAGUAUUUUUGAACGGAGGGAGUACCAU